UUUGGAAAGAGAUUAAACAGUAUGUGAAAUUGUUGAAAGGGAAACGCUUGAAGUCAGUUAUGUUGGCUAGGGAUCAACCUAUCUAUUUUUGCUGGGUGAAUUCCUAGUUUGACAGGCCAACAUCAUUCUUGACUGCUGGAAAAGAGCAGAAGGAAUGUGGCACCUUUGGGUGUGUUAUAGCCUUUGUCAUAUGUGGCAGUUGGGACUGAGGGAUGCAGCGUGCCGCGAAGCUGGGUUUCGACCACGUUCACGCUUAGGAUGUUGGCUUUUAAUGGCUUCAAUCGACCCGUCUUGAAACACGGACCAAGGAGUCUAACAUGCCUGCGAGUGUUUGGGUGGAAAACCCUUGUGCACAAUGAAAGUGAAAGUUGAGAUCCCUGUCAUGGGGAGCAUCGACGCCCGGACUGGAGCUUUUAACAAUGGAUCCGCGGUAGAGCAUGCAUGUUGGGACCCGAAAGAUGGUGAACUAUGCCUGAAUAGGGCAAAGCCAGAGGAAACUCUGGUGGAGGUUCGUAGCGAUUCUGACGUGCAAAUCGAUCGUCAAAUUUGGGUAU
rnacentral:rRNA from 1 species